CGAGGCCAGGUAGCAAUACCUGAGUCGAGCGGCGCACGGGUGAGUAACGCGUGGAUAACCUGCCUGAUGGUGGGGGAUAACCCGGGGAAACCCGGGCUAAUACCGCAUAACACCGAGAGGUCAAAGGGGGCCGCAAGGCUCUCGCCUGCAGAGGGGUCCGCGUCCGAUUAGCUAGUUGGUGAGGUAACGGCUCACCAAGGCUCCGAUCGGUAGGGGGUCUGAGAGGAUGAUCCCCCACACUGGUACUGAGACACGGACCAGACUCCUACGGGAGGCAGCAGUAAGGAAUAUUGGACAAUGGGCGCAAGCCUGAUCCAGCUAUGCCGCGUGAAGGAUGAAGGCCCUCUGGGUCGUAAACUUCUUUUAUACGGGAAAAAACCCCUCGAUGCGUUGAGGGUUGAUGGUACUGUAAGAAUAAGGGUCGGCUAACUUCGUGCCAGCAGCCGCGGUAAUACGAAGGACCCGAGCGUUAUCCGGAUUUAUUGGGUUUAAAGGGUGCGUAGGCGGAUUAGUAAGUCAGUGGUGAAAGCCCGUCGCUUAACGGCGGAAUUGCCAUUGAUACUGCUAGUCUUGAGUAUGGUUGAGGUGGACGGAAUGUGUCAUGUAGCGGUGAAAUGCUUAGAUAUGACACAGAACACCGAUUGCGAAGGCAGCUCGCUAAGCCAUAACUGACGCUGAGGCACGAAAGCGUGAGGAGCAAACAGGAUUAGAUACCCUGGUAGUCCACGCCCUAAACGAUGAUAACUCGUUGUUGGCGAUAUACAGUCAGCGACUAAGCGAAAGCAUUAAGUUAUCCACCUG
rnacentral:rRNA from 1 species